AUUGAACGCUGGCGGCAGGCCUAACACAUGCAAGUCGAGCGGCAGCACUUCGGGUGGCGAGCGGCGGACGGGUGAGUAAUGCUUGGGAACGUGCCGUUAGGUGGGGGACAACAGUUGGAAACGACUGCUAAUACCGCAUAAUCUCUUCGGAGCAAAGAUGGGGCUCGCAAGACCUAUCGCCUAACGAUCGGCCCAAGUGGGAUUAGCUAGUUGGUGAGGUAACGGCUCACCAAGGCGACGAUCCCUAGCUGGUCUGAGAGGAUGAUCAGCCACACUGGGACUGAGGCACGGCCCAGACUCCUACGGGAGGCAGCAGUGGGGAAUAUUGCACAAUGGGCGAAAGCCUGAUGCAGCCAUGCCGCGUGUGUGAAGAAGGCCCUAGGGUUGUAAAGCACUUUCAAUAGGAGGAAAAGCUAGUAGUUAAUACCUAGCUAGCCCUGACGUUACCUAUAGAAGAAGCACCGGCUAACUCCGUGCCAGCAGCCG
rnacentral:rRNA from 1 species